AACUAAUGAGCUUGAUAUAAGCUUAUAUUUUGAAAAUAUAGGAAAGAAAUAGACUUCUAUUAGUUU
rnacentral:tRNA from 1 species